CAGCAGACGAAUGCUGGGAUCCUGGUGUGCCGACCAAUGGGACAAGAGAUAACAACAGUAACUUUACAUCAGGGCAGACAGUCAGGUACACCUGUAUGGCCGGGUAUCAUCUGUGGGGAACUGCCAAUAUAACCUGCCAGCCGAACGGGACAUGGAGUGAUGAUACACCAACUUGUGAAGUACACAUGACGGGCCCCUCUGGAGGCCCUGUGACGUCACCAAGCUAUCCCAGAACUAUGGCAACAAUGAAAACAUCAGGUGGUUGAUCACUGUACCAGAAGGAAGCAUCAUUCGUCUCACGUUCGCCGGGUUCUAUACUCAUAGUUCUGACUUUCUGACCAUCUACGAUGGAGCCAAUGAUGAUGCUCCAGAGUUACGAAGGUUAUCAGGUUACCAUCAUCAAAUCAGCCCCAUCAUCAGCACAUCUAACACGAUGUUACUAAGGUAUACAUCUGACGACCGUUACA